rnacentral:rRNA from 1 species
UACGUAGGGUGCGAGCGUUAAUCGGAAUUACUGGGCGUAAAGCGUGCGCAGGCGGCGCGUUAAGACAGGUGUGAAAGCCCCGAGCUUAACUUGGGAAUUGCGCUUGUGACUGGCGUGCUGGAGUGUGGCAGAGGGAGGUGGAAUUCCACGUGUAGCAGUGAAAUGCGUAGAGAUGUGGAGGAACACCGAUGGCGAAGGCAGCCUCCUGGGCCAGCACUGACGCUCAUGCACGAAAGCCAGGGGAGCGAACGGG